GUGUUGUAUGAAAGGAGAGAAGGUUAGCACUCCCCUUGACAAGGAUGGAAGAGGCCCUUGUGGCCCAACAUGCAUACGCUUAAGGCACUGCCACCUAUUUCAUGGCAUGUAACCAUGUUAA
rfam:Picoides pubescens contig74599, whole genome shotgun sequence.